rnacentral:lncRNA from 1 species
AUAUAUUCCCCACAAAGACUACUUUUAACAUUCAUAUCAUAUGCAUCAUUAGGUAUCUUAAGGACCAAAAUUUGUUUUUAGAUGUUGUUAUUUAACUUCAUUCUACUGAGUUGAUACGCAAAUUUUAACCUUCACAUCCACAUCUAGAAUGUCCUUAUAUAGGGGCAUCUGUAAGACCCCAAUUUUGACCCUAAGAUCCCUCAUGCUAUCUCAUCAUAUGCAUUGGCUUUGG